rnacentral:rRNA from 1 species
GAUGAACGCUGGCGGCGUGCCUAAUGCAUGCAAGUCGAGCGAACGGACGAGAAGCUUGCUUCUUUGAUGUUAGCGGCGGACGGGUGAGUAACACGUGGAUAACCUACUUAUAUGACUGGGAUAACUUCGGGAAACCGGAGCUAAUACCGGAUAAUAUUUUGAACCGCAUGGUUCAAAAGUGAAAGGCGGUCUUGCUGUCUCUUAUAGAUGGAUCCGCGCUGCAUUAGCUAGUUGGUAAGGUAACGGCUUACCAAGGCAACGAUGCAUAGCCGACCUGAGAGGAUGAUCGGCCACACUGGAACUGAGACACGGUCCAGACUCCUACGGGAGGCAGCAGUAGGGAAUCUUCCGCAAUGGGCGAAAGCCUGACGGAGCAACGCCGCGUGAGUGAUGAAGGUCUUCGGAUCGUAAAGCUCUGUUAUUAGGGAAGAACAUAUGUGGAAGUAACUGUGGACAUCUUGACGGUACCUAAUCAAAAAGCCACGGCUAACUACGUG